rnacentral:rRNA from 1 species
AGUCGACGAGCGAGAGAGAGCUUGCUUUCUCGAGCGAGUGGCGAACGGGUGAGUAACGCGUGAGGAACCUGCCUCAAAGAGGGGGACAACAGUUGGAAACGACUGCUAAUACCGCAUAAGCCCACGACCCGGCAUCGGGUAGAGGGAAAAGGAGCAAUCCGCUUUGAGAUGGCCUCGCGUCCGAUUAGCUAGUUGGUGAGGUAACGGCCCACCAAGGCGACGAUCGGUAGCCGGACUGAGAGGUUGAACGGCCACAUUGGGACUGAGACACGGCCCAGACUCCUACGGGAGGCAGCAGUGGGGAAUAUUGCACAAUGGGGGAAACCCUGAUGCAGCGACGCCGCGUGGAGGAAGAAGGUCUUCGGAUUGUAAACUCCUGUUGUUGAGGAAGAUAAUGACGGUACUCAACAAGGAAGUGACGGCUAACUACGUGCCAGCAGCCGCGGUAAAACGUAGGUCACAAGCGUUGUCCGGAAUUACUGGGUGUAAAGGGAGCGCAGGCGGGAAGACAAGUUGGAAGUGAAAUCCAUGGGCUCAACCCAUGAACUGCUUUCAAAACUGUUUUUCUUGAGUAGUGCAGAGGUAGGCGGAAUUCCCGGUGUAGCGGUGGAAUGCGUAGAUAUCGGGAGGAACACCAGUGGCGAAGGCGGCCUACUGGGCACCAACUGACGCUGAGGCUCGAAAGUGUGGGUAGCAAACAGGAUUAGAUACCCUGGUAGUCCACACUGUAAACGAUGAUUACUAGGUGUUGGAGGAUUGACCCCUUCAGUGCCGCAGUUAACACAAUAAGUA